rnacentral:rRNA from 1 species
AUUGAACGCUGGCGGCAGGCUUAACACAUGCAAGUCGAGCGGAGAUGAGGUGCUUGCACCUUAUCUCAGCGGCGGACGGGUGAGUAAUGCUUAGGAAUCUGCCUAUUAGUGGGGGACAACAUUCCGAAAGGAAUGCUAAUACCGCAUACGUCCUACGGGAGAAAGCAGGGGAUCUUCGGACCUUGCGCUAAUAGAUGAGCCUAAGUCGGAUUAGCUAGUUGGUGGGGUAAAGGCCUACCAAGGCGACGAUCUGUAGCGGGUCUGAGAGGAUGAUCCGCCACACUGGGACUGAGACACGGCCCAGACUCCUACGGGAGGCAGCAGUGGGGAAUAUUGGACAAUGGGGGAACCCUGAUCCAGCCAUGCCGCGUGUGUGAAGAAGGCCUUAUGGUUGUAAAGCACUUUAAGCGAGGAGGAGGCUACUGAGACUAAUACUCUUGGAUAGUGGACGUUACUCGCAGAAUAAGCACUGGCUAACUCUGUGCCAGCCGCCGCCGUAAAAC